rnacentral:rRNA from 1 species
GAUGAACGCUGGCGGCGUGCUUAACACAUGCGAGUCGAACGAACCUUCGGGUUAGUGGCGGACGGGUGAGUAACGCGUGAGAAUCUGCCCUCAGGAGGGGGAUAACGGCUGGAAACGGCCGCUAAUACCCCAUAUGCCGAGAGGUGAAAUGAAUUUCGCCUGAGGAUGAGCUCGCGUCUGAUUAGCUAGUUGGUGUGGUAAAGGCUCACCAAGGCAUCGAUCAGUAGCUGGUCUGAGAGGAUGAUCAGCCACACUGGGACUGAGACACGGCCCAGACUCCUACGGGAGGCAGCAGUGGGGAAUUUUCCGCAAUGGGCGCAAGCCUGACGGAGCAACGCCGCGUGAGGGAUGAAGGCCUCUGGGCUGUAAACCUCUUUUAUCAAGGAAGAAGAUCUGACGGUACUUGAUGAAUAAGCCACGGCUAAUUCCGUGCCAGCAGCCGCGGUAAUACGGGAGUGGCAAGCGUUAUCCGGAAUUAUUGGGCGUAAAGCGUCCGCA